rnacentral:rRNA from 1 species
AUUGAACGCUGGCGGCAUGCCUUACACAUGCAAGUCGAACGGUAACGGGCCUUCGGGUGCCGACGAGUGGCGAACGGGUGAGUAAUGCAUCGGAACGUACCUUUCAGUGGGGGAUAACGUAGCGAAAGUUACGCUAAUACCGCAUAUUCUGUGAGCAGGAAAGCAGGGGAUCGCAAGACCUUGCGCUGAUUGAGCGGCCGAUGUCAGAUUAGCUAGUUGGUGAGGUAAAGGCUCACCAAGGCGACGAUCUGUAGCGGGUCUGAGAGGAUGACCCGCCACACUGGAACUGAGACACGGUCCAGACUCCUACGGGAGGCAGCAGUGGGGAAUUUUGGACAAUGGGCGCAAGCCUGAUCCAGCCAUGCCGCGUGAGUGAAGAAGGCCUCGGGUUGUUAAAGACGUCUUUCGGUCCCGGG